ACCAGGUGUAAGGACACAUCCCUCACAGCAACGUGAGAGAAGAUAUUAUGAAGUGCUCCUGUUCUUUAUUUGAGCAAUGUGAUGCAUGUUGCUUUUGAUUUCUUGGCACUUGAAGGAGAAGCUCAAGGCGGAGCUAGAGAGAGCUCAUUGCUCUCGCCAUGGUGGACGCCUCAGGCUUGUUUGUUGUCUCGAUUAUUGCGAAACAUGCUAAGGAGGUGAAUCAAUGCGCUUCUGCGACAAAGGCUGUGCUGGCCCUAAUCAUCAUUUGUUAAAACGAAAUGGAGACUUGAAAGCUGAUUGAGGACGUUUCCCCUUGAUGUGCAGAAGGUACGGAAAGGCUACCAUAUUCUCCUAAUGCUCAAGUGGUUUCAUUUAAGCUUUACUUGGCAGAGAACAUCUCAAGAAUCACAACUCACACUAUUAGAACUGGACCUUUGAAAUACCAUUCAUGGUGGAGAACCUGGAGCAGUACAUCAAGUGGAGCAGUACAUCAAGCGGCUGCAAGAGCACAUCAUCAUGGCUGAGAGCACAUACAAGCUGCUGGUGAAGGAGCUCCCAACUUCCGGCAUGCGGCUGAGAUCAUUCUGGCUCUCACAGGCCAAGGCACCACCACCUCCACAACACCAGUAGCAACAUCAGAGGAUGAUCACGCCAUUGUCCUUUAUAGAUGAGAACAUGCAAAUUACUAUCUACUUUAACUCCAGAGCUAGUACAUUGACAUAACCUUCAUGUUAGAAACUGAACAGAUUCACAUUCUGUACAAUAGAGGUAGAGUCGUUUAGGGUAGAAACAGAAUAGCUCUACAUCAGGUCUUUUUCUUGUACAACUGUGCUGGUUGUUUUUUUCCCCUGUUCAGUUUAUAUAAACCCUAAGUUGCAUGCA